rnacentral:rRNA from 1 species
CACGUAGGGGGCAAGCGUUGUCCGGAAUUAUUGGGCGUAAAGGGCUCGUAGGCGGUUUGUCACGUCGGGAGUGAAAACUCAGGGCUUAACCCUGAGCCUGCUUCCGAUACGGGCAGACUAGAGGUAUGCAGGGGAGAAUGGAAUUCCUGGUGUAGCGGUGAAAUGCGCAGAUAUCAGGAGGAACACCGGUGGCGAAGGCGGUUCUCUGGGCAUUACCUGACGCUGAGGAGCGAAAGUGUGGGGAGCGAACAGG